AGCAGCCGCGGUAAUACGUAGGGCGCAAGCGUUUUCCGGAAUAUUGGGCGUAAAGAGCUCGUAGGCGGUUUGUCGCGUCUGCCGUGAAAGUCCGGGGCUCAACUCCGGAUCUGCGGUGGGUACGGGCAGACUAGAGUGAUGUAGGGGAGACUGGAAUUCCUGGUGUAGCGGUGAAAUGCGCAGAUAUCAGGAGGAACACCGAUGGCGAAGGCAGGUCUCUGGGCAUUAACUGACGCUGAGGAGCGAAAGCAUGGGGAGCGAACAGGAUUAGAUACCCUGGUAGUCCAUGCCGUAAACGUUGGGCACUAGGUGUGGGGGACAUUCCACGUUUUCCGCGCCGUAGCUAACGCAUUAAGUGCCCCGCCUGGGGAGUACGGCCGCAAGGCUAAAACUCAAAGGAAUUGACGGGGGCCCGCACAAGCGGCGGAGCAUGCGGAUUAAUUCGAUGCAACGCGAAGAACCUUACCAAGGCUUGACAUGGACCGGACCGCCGCAGAAAUGUGGUUUCCCCUUUGGGGCCGGUUCACAGGUGGUGCAUGGUUGUCGUCAGCUCGUGUCGUGAGAUGUUGGGUUAAGUCCCGCAACGAGCGCAACCCUCGUUCUAUGUUGCCAGCGCGUGAUGGCGGGGACUCAUAGGAGACUGCCGGGGUCAACUCGGAGGAAGGUGGGGACGACGUCAAAUCAUCAUGCCCCUUAUGUCUUGGGCUUCACGCAUGCUACAAUGGCCGGUACAAAGGGUUGCGAUACUGUGAGGUGGAGCUAAUCCCAAAAAGCCGGUCUCAGUUCGGAUUGGGGUCUGCAACUCGACCCCAUGAAGUCGGAGUCGCUAGUAAUCGCAGAUCAGCAACGCUGCGGUGAAUACGUUCCCGGGCCUUGUACACACCGCCCGUCAAGUCACGAAAGUUGGUAACACCCGAAGCCGGUGGCCUAACCCCUUGUGGGAGGGAGCUGUCGAAGGUGGGGCUGGA
rnacentral:rRNA from 1 species